rnacentral:rRNA from 1 species
UCGAUUAGAGUUUGAUCCUGGCUCAGGAUGAACGCUGGCGGCGUGCCUAACACAUGCAAGUCGAACGGUCGCAAGACAGUGGCGCACGGGUGAGGAACACGUAGCUAACCUGCCCUCAAGACCGGGAUAACGGAUCGAAAGGUCUGCUAAUACCGGAUAAGCUCACGUGAAGUAGAAGCAAGUGAGAAAAGGGAUACCGCUUGAGGAGGGGGCUGCGGCCUAUCAGGUAGUUGGUGAGGUAAUGGCUCACCAAGCCGACGACGGGUAGGGGGCCUGAGAGGGUGACCCCCCACACUGGGACUGAGACACGGCCCAGACUCCUACGGGAGGCAGCAGUGAGGGAUAUUGCACAAUGGGCGCAAGCCUGAUGCAGCGACGCCGCGUGAGUGAAGAAGGCCUUCGAGUCGUAAAACUCUUUUGCCGAUGACGAGGAAGGACGGUAGUCGGCGAAUAAGCCUCGGCUAACUACGUGCCAGCAGCCGCGGUAAAACGUAGGAGGCGAGCGUUAUCCGGAGUUACUGGGCGUAAAGCGUGCGCAGGCGGUUCUGUAAGUGGCUUGUGAAAGCGCCCGGCUAAACCGGGCGAGGACAGGUCAGACUGCAGGGCUGGGAUGGAACAGAGGGCUGUGGAAUUCCGGGUGUAGCGGUGAAAUGUGCAGAGAUCCGGAGGAACACCAGAGGUGAAGACGGCGGCCUGGGUUCCAAUCGACGCUGAGGCACGAAAGCGUGGGGAGCGAACGGGAUUAGAGACCCCGGUAGUCCACGCCGUAAACGAUGCAGACUAGAUGUUCGUGCCGGGAAACCGGGAUGAGCGUCGCAGCUAACGCGCUAAGUCUGCCGCCUGGGGAGUACGGUCGCAAGACUAAAACUCAAAGGAAUUGACGGGGGCCCGCACAAGCAGCGGAGCGUGUGGUUUAAUUCGAGGCUACACGAAGAACCUUACCUGGGUUUGACAUCACGGUGGUAGUGAAGCGAAAGCGGAACGACCUACGGGAGCCGUGACAGGUGCUGCAUGGCUGUCGUCAGCUCGUGUCGUGAGAUGUUCGGUUAAGUCCGAAAACGAGCGCAACCCUCGGUGCCAGUUACAGGUGUCUGGCGCGACUGCCUUCGAGAAGGAGGAGGAAGGUGGGGAUGACGUCAAGUCAGCAUGGCCUUUAUAUCCAGGGCUACACACACGCUACAAUGGGCGGCACAAUUGGAAGCGAACCCGCGAGGGGGAGCGGAUCCGUGAAAGCCGUUCGUAGUUCGGAUUGCAGGCUGCAACUCGCCUGCAUGAAGCUGGAGUUGCUAGUAACCGCAGGUCAGCGAUACUGCGGUGAAUACGUUCCCGGGCCUUGUACACACCGCCCGUCACGUCAUGGGAGCUGGUCACGCCUGAAGCCGAUGAGCGAACCGCAAGGAAGCAGUCGUCGAAGGCAGGGCCGGUGACUGGGACGAAGUCGUAACAAGGUAGCUGUAGCGGAAGCUGCGGCUGGAUCACCUCCUUAAUCGA